rnacentral:rRNA from 1 species
UACAGAGGUCUCAAGCGUUGUUCGGAUUCUUUGGGCGUAAAGGGUGCGUAGGCGGCGCGGUAAGUCGGGUGUGAAAUCUUGGAGCUUAACUCCGAAACUGCAUUCGAUACUGCCGUGCUUGAGGACUGGAGAGGAGACUGGAAUUUACGGUGUAGCGGUGAAAUGCGUAGAUAUCGUAAGGAAGACCAGUGGCGAAGGCGGGUCUCUGGACAGUUCCUGACGCUGAGGCACGAAGGCCAGGGGAGCAAACGGG